AGACCCGAAACCCGGUGAUCUAGCCAUGGGCAGGUUGAAGGUUGGGUAACACUAACUGGAGGACCGAACCGACUAAUGUUGAAAAAUUAGCGGAUGACCUGUGGCUGGGGGUGAAAGGCCAAUCAAACCGGGAGAUAGCUGGUUCUCCCCGAAAGCUAUUUAGGUAGCGCCUCGUGAAUUCAUCUCCGGGGGUAGAGCACUGUUUCGGCUAGGGGGCCAUCCCGGCUUACCAACCCGAUGCAAACUGCGAAUACCGGAGAAUGUUAUCACGGGAGACACACGGCGGGUGCUAACGUCCGUCGUGAAGAGGGAAACAACCCAGACCGCCAGCUAAGGUCCCAAAGUCAUGGUUAAGUGGGAAACGAUGUGGGAAGGCCCAGACAGCCAGGAUGUUGGCUUAGAAGCAGCCAUCAUUUAAAGAAAGCGUAAUAGCUCACUGGUCGAGUCGGCCUGCGCGGAAGAUGUAACGGGGCUAAACCAUGCACCGAAGCUGCGGCAGCGACGCUGAUGCGUUGUUGGGUAGGGGAGCGUUCUGUAAGCCUGCGAAGGUGGCCUGUGAGGGUUGCUGGAGGUAUCAGAAGUGCGAAUGCUGACAUAAGUAACGAUAAAGCGGGUGAAAAGCCCGCUCGCCGGAAGACCAAGGGUUCCUGUCCAACGUUAAUCGGGGCAGGGUGAGUCGACCCCUAAGGCGAGGCCGAAAGGCGUAGUCGAUGGGAAACGGGUUAAUAUUCCCGUACUUGGUGUUACUGCGAAGGGGGGACGGAGAAGGCUAUGUUGGCCGGGCGACGGUUGUCCCGGUUUAAGCGUGUAGGUGUGUGUUCCAGGUAAAUCCGGUUCACUUUAACACUGAGGCGUGACGACGAGGCACUACGGUGCUGAAGCAACAAAUGCCCUGCUUCCAGGAAAAGCCUCUAAGCAUCAGGUAACAUCAAAUCGUACCCCAAACCGACACAGGUGGUCAGGUAGAGAAUACCAAGGCGCUUGAGAGAACUCGGGUGAAGGAACUAGGCAAAAUGGUGCCGUAACUUCGGGAGAAGGCACGCUGACACGUAGGUGAAGUGAUUUACUCAUGGAGCUGAAGUCAGUCGAAGAUACCAGCUGGCUGCAACUGUUUAUUAAAAACACAGCACUGUGCAAACACGAAAGUGGACGUAUACGGUGUGACGCCUGCCCGGUGCCGGAAGGUUAAUUGAUGGGGUCAGCGCAAGCGAAGCUCCUGAUCGAAGCCCCGGUAAACGGCGGCCGUAACUAUAACGGUCCUAAGGUAGCGAAAUUCCUUGUCGGGUAAGUUCCGACCUGCACGAAUGGCGUAAUGAUGGCCAGGCUGUCUCCACCCGAGACUCAGUGAAAUUGAACUCGCUGUGAAGAUGCAGUGUACCCGCGGCAAGACGGAAAGACCCCGUGAACCUUUACUAUAGCUUGACACUGAACAUUGAGCCUUGAUGUGUAGGAUAGGUGGGAGGCUUUGAAGUGU
rnacentral:rRNA from 1 species